rnacentral:rRNA from 1 species
UACGUAGGCAGCGAGCGUUGUUCGGAAUUACUGGGCGUAAAGCGUGCGCAGGCGGUUUUGUAAGUUUGUCGUGAAAUCCCCGGGCUCAACCUGGGAAUGGCGAUGAAGACUGCAAGGCUAGAAUCUGGCAGAGGGGGGUAGAAUUCCACGUGUAGCAGUGAAAUGCGUAGAGAUGUGGAGGAACACCGAUGGCGAAGGCAGCCCCCUGGGCUGAGAUUGACGCUCAGGCACGGAAAAGCGUGGGG